rnacentral:rRNA from 1 species
AGAGUUUGAUCCUGGCUCAGGACGAACGCUGGCGGCGUGCUUAACACAUGCAAGUCGAACGAGAAUCUACUGAAAGAGUUUUCGGACAAUGGAAGUAGAGGAAAGUGGCGGACGGGUGAGUAACGCGUGAGGAACCUGCCUUGAAGAGGGGGACAACAGUUGGAAACGACUGCUAAUACCGCAUGAAGCAUAGGGGUCGCAUGAUUCUUAUGCCAAAGAUUUAUCGCUUCAAGAUGGCCUCGCGUCUGAUUAGCUAGUUGGCGGGGUAACGGCCCACCAAGGCGACGAUCAGUAGCCGGACUGAGAGGUUGAACGGCCACAUUGGGACUGAGAUACGGCCCAGACUCCUACGGGAGGCAGCAGUGGGGAAUAUUGGGCAAUGGGCGCAAGCCUGACCCAGCAACGCCGCGUGAAGGAAGAAGGCUUUCGGGUUGUAAACUUCUUUUAAGAGGGAAGAGCAGAAGACGGUACCUCUAGAAUAAGCCACGGCUAACUACGUGCCAGCAGCCGCGGUAAUACGUAGGUGGCAAGCGUUGUCCGGAUUUACUGGGUGUAAAGGGCGUGCAGCCGGGUCUGCAAGUCAGAUGUGAAAUCCAUGGGCUCAACCCAUGAACUGCAUUUGAAACUGUAGAUCUUGAGUGUCGGAGGGGCAAUCGGAAUUCCUAGUGUAGCGGUGAAAUGCGUAGAUAUUAGGAGGAACACCAGUGGCGAAGGCGGAUUGCUGGACGAUAACUGACGGUGAGGCGCGAAAGUGUGGGGAGCAAACAGGAUUAGAUACCCUGGUAGUCCACACUGUAAACGAUGAAUACUAGGUGUGCGGGGACUGACCCCCUGCGUGCCGCAGUAAACACAAUAAGUAUUCCACCUGGGGAGUACGAUCGCAAGGUUGAAACUCAAAGGAAUUGACGGGGGCCCGCACAAGCGGUGGAUUAUGUGGUUUAAUUCGAAGCAACGCGAAGAACCUUACCAGGGUUUGACAUCCUGCUAACGAAGUAGAGAUACAUUAGGUGCCCUUCGGGGAAAGCAGAGACAGGUGGUGCAUGGUUGUCGUCAGCUCGUGUCGUGAGAUGUUGGGUU